rnacentral:rRNA from 1 species
GUGGGGAAUAUUGCACAAUGGGGGAAACCCUGAUGCAGCGACGCCGCGUGGAGGAAGAAGGUCUUCGGAUUGUAAACUCCUGUUGUUGAGGAAGAUAAUGACGGUACUCAACAAGGAAGUGACGGCUAACUACGUGCCAGCAGCCGCGGUAAAACGUAGGUCACAAGCGUUGUCCGGAAUUACUGGGUGUAAAGGGAGCGCAGGCGGGAGAACAAGUUGGAAGUGAAAUCCAUGGGCUCAACCCAUGAACUGCUUUCAAAACUGUUUUUCUUGAGUAGUGCAGAGGUAGGCGGAAUUCCCGGUGUAGCGGUGGAAUGCGUAGAUAUCGGGAGGAACACCAGUGGCGAAGGCGGCUUACUGGACGAUAACUGACGCUGAGGCUCGAAAGCGUGGGGAGCAAACAGGAUUAGAUACCCGUGUAGUCC